UACGUAGGGUCCGAGCGUUGUCCGGAGUUACUGGGCGUAAAGCGCGCGCAGGCGGCGGUGCUGGCCCGGCGUGAAAGCCCCCGACUCAACCGUGGAAGUGCCUUGGAUACCGGCGGCCUCGAGGGAGGUAGGGGCGUGCGGAACUUCGGGUGGAGCGGUGAAAUGCGUAGAUAUCCGAAGGAACACCGGUGGCGAAAGCGGCGCGCUGGAUCUCUUCUGACGCUGAGGCGCGAAAGCCAGGGGAGCAAACGGG
rnacentral:rRNA from 1 species